AAGAAAAAAAAACUCUUUGUUUAUUGUGAAACUAACUGCAGUAAUUCUUAUUCAAAUGUCUUUUUUCUGCCUGCUCGAACUGACACAUAGUACAGAAGUGUUGCUGGAGAAAGUAAAUGAAAUCUGUUCCUGUGAUUUUGCAGCAUUUCAUAUGUUAUAUUGCUUUCUGUUUUGGUGGACCAUUUUUGGUAUUUUUCUUCAAUGCUGCCUUGUCCGAACUUUUUCCGACUAAGCUAUAUGAGUGCUGGUGUUCAUAAUGGAGGAUUUGCACUAAUCUCAUCUGAAUUACUUUGUUGGUCUAUUGACUCUAUUGCCAUGCUUGUUGGUCUAUUGCCAUGCUUUACAUGUGUAGCUCAGGGUUGAAGAAAUCCCAUUUAUGACCUCAUGAACUGGUAGGAGUAUAGAAUGGGUUAAAAAAGGAAAAUCAACCGAAAACUGUCAUUUGAUUGCUGUUUCUUUAUUGAAUAAAUCUUAGUUACAUGAAAUGAGAGCGGCAGUGGGAGUGCUAGAGGAAUAGAAGACUUGAAGAUUAGGAGCUUGUGUCUGAGUGUGUAUGUUAAUUCUAGAGUCUAGACUUCUAGUAUAUAUGGGAAAACAUGAGUAUGUUACAGUGAUCUGUCAGCUGCAAAUGCUUUGGUAAUAUAGGUAAAUGUUAUGUACGAACUACUAGAGUAAACUUCGGGUAAUUCGUUUUGUAGUAUGUUAUUGUUGUGUCGUGCUGAUGUUCUCUGCCUUGGUGGCUCUCUUUUUUUCCUUUUUAGUUCCUUUUGGAAUUUUUAUGCUUGAUAGGCAGAUCCAGAUAAAUGAAAGGGAUGUCCUCUUUUGAGUGUGUAGCUGGUACGAGCCCCCUUCUGACAUGUAUCGGUCCCACUUUGAAAAGAUGAAAUAAGAUUUUCUUGUCUUUACUCGAGCGGAUUGGUGAGGAAAGCAACCGGGUGUCCUUGUUGGAAACCGAUUCUUUCUUGAUGGGAAUGAGAUUCUCGGGCGAUCCUUACUUGGGAGCAUGGGAAACAGGUUCCGGAGCGGAUUCGUCAUGCAUAGUAGAAGGAUUCUGCAACCAUGGAAUUGAUAAUCAUAUUAUUGAGCUAUUCUGGAAAGUAGAGGCUGUAGUUUGCGAUUUAUGUUGGCACUCCAGACAAGAUAGAAUAUGUGUCUAAGUUAUUCCUGACAAAUCUAUAAGGAAGACGAGGAUUAAUCUAGUCUGACGAGAUGUACGCCUGACGCCUAAAGGUUUGUGUCAUGUUUUGUGUUAAAGAUGCUUAUGAAUAUUUAAAUUUUUUGGUGCCGUCAGGAUUUUCUCAUCUAGUAUUAUCAAGAAUCAAGAUUCCCCUAUUUGGAUUGUAUAUGCAUGUUGACAGCAGAAACUGGUUUAAGAGGAUGGGGACCGAUAGUGCCAGGUUAAAUGUAAGACCCAAACAGAACAGCUGGGAAUUGGGAGCCAGACGAAGCCCCAUUUGCAAUUUUCGUAGUAAUAUUUCCCGGAAAAUAGUUUCUGCAUUUUGCAGUGUUCGGUGUAGUCAUAAAACCUUCAUUAAUGGUAGAUCCGAAAGUAUAGUAGUAGUAUUUUGUUUGACGUAGAUGAAACUCAAAAUACUGGUGUACCAUGAGAAUGAUCUCUAGAUUUUGAAGACUGCUAUAUCCGAUGAUGGAACUACCAAAGGGCUGAGUGGGACCUGUCCCCACCAGCCCCACCUUUUUUAUAUUUGCAUAUUUUAAAUUUUGCUAUGCUUUACAGAAUACAAA